CACAUCUGUCAGUGCACACACACACACACACACACACAAGCACUGAUAUGUGUGUGUGUGUGAUUUUCCCUGCCCCUCUUGGUCAGGCUUCAGUGUGGAUGAAGCGGGUCGGAGUUUGCUGAUGAUUGGGAAUGUAACAGUGAGGGAUUCGGGAUUGUACACGUGUACAGCGGAGAUCAGCGUCGGCUCUGUUCGAGCGUUAGCAUUCCUCCAUAUCACAGGUGAGUUUUAAAUACAGGUCUGUUUUACACUCUCUCUUUCACUCUAUCUGUGCGUUUGUCUCUCUCUCUCUCUCUUUGUUUCAUUGUAUCACUCUCUGCCUCUGCCUCUGUCUCUCUCACUAUAGAGCCUCCAGUUCUGAAAGUAGAUGGCCAUGUGUCUCAGUUUGUCCCUCAUGGUGCUGUAAUUGUGUUGGAUUGUUCUGUUAGAGGAACUCCAGCUCCGGUGUUGUGCUGGUUUAAAGAUGGCCACCUGCUGCAGGUCACUGAGCGUCUUCAUCUAACAGCUCUCCAACAGCUCUCUCAUUCUGUACAGCGCCAUGAGCAGGGAUUCAGGAGAGUAUCUGUGUGUUGCUGAAAAUGAGAUGGGAGGAUGAUAUCUCUGAAAGUACAGGGUGAAAUGUUUAUCGUUAUCACUGCUUUUUGAUAUUUGUGUUACAACUAUUACAUUCGUAAUCAGUUUAAUAAGCAGGUUAAUCAGUAAUCAGUUUAAUCCACCACUGUUAAUAUUUGUGCUGCAGUUGCAGGCGGUUACUCUCACUGGGAGCAGUGGGAGCCAUGCAGUGUCACAUGUGGGUGUGGCCUCCAACAGUGAAUCAGAUUUUGCAACAACCCAAAACCAACCAAAGGGGGAGCAGCAUGUGAGGGUUCAGAUGUUGAGUCCAGGCAGUGCCAGACAUCCUUAUGUUCAGGAGACUCUCUCCGUAGGGCUCGUGCCAGUGUGAUCGGGAUGGUGAAUGAUCGUGAGUUUGGUGUGUCUUUCCUUGUAGUGAACAUCAGUGAGAACUCAGAGCAGAUGCAGCAUACUGGAGGUUCACAUGGAGAACGUUCCUCCCAGUGUGGGUGAGUCUCUCUCUCACACACACUCACUCACACACACGCGCACACACAUACACACACACACACACACACACACAUCUUAAAUUCAUCUAAAAUAUACAAAAUAAAAUGGCCUACAUUUGCCGUGUACAAAUAAAUGUCCAUGUCAUCAUUGUUCAUCACCAGCUUAUGGAUAAACAAAACACCCUU